rnacentral:tRNA from 1 species
AAAAACUUAGUUAAUUUAUAACAUUAGAGUGUCAAUCUAAAAUUAUUUCACGAAAUAGUUUUUA